rnacentral:rRNA from 1 species
UGGUGGAGUGAUUUGUCUGGUUAAUUCCGUUAACGAACGAGACCUCUACCUGCUAAAUAGUUCAGCGAACUCUUUGGGUUCGUAUGCAACUUCUUAGAGGGACUAUCGUUUUGUAGACGAUGGAAGUUGGAGGCAAUAACA